CCUACGGGAGGCAGCAGUGAGGAAUAUUGGUCAAUGGUCGGGAGACUGAACCAGCCAAGCCGCGUGAGGGAGGAAGGUACAGAGUAUUGUAAACCUCUUUUGUCAGGGAACAAUGACUGGGACGCGUCCCCGGAUGAGUGUACCUGAAGAAAAAGCAUCGGCUAACUCCGUGCCAGCAGCCGCGGUAAUACGGAGGAUGCGAGCGUUAUCCGGAUUUAUUGGGUUUAAAGGGUGCGUAGGCGGUCUGUUAAGUCAGUGGUCAAAGCCCGGGGCUCAACCCUGAUCCGCCAUUGAAACUGGCAGUCUCGAGUUGGAGAGAGGUAUGCGGAAUGCGUGAUGUAGCGGUGAAAUGCAUAGAUAUCGCGCAGAACUCCGAUAGCGAAGGCAGCAUGCCGGCUCCACACUGACGCUGAGGCACGAGAGCGUGGGUAGCGAACAGGAUUAGAUACCCCAGUAGUC
rnacentral:rRNA from 1 species